GACGAACGCUGGAGGCGUGCUUAACACAUGCAAGUCGAACGAUGAAAUGGAGCUUGCUCCAUGGAUUAGUGGCGAACGGGUGAGUAACACGUGAAUAACCUGCCCUUAAUUUUGGAAUAACCCAGGGAAACCUGGGCUAAUACCGGAUAAGUAAACCUGUGGCAUCACAUGGUUUUGGAAAGUUUUUCGAUUAAGGAUGGAUUCGCGGCCUAUCAGCUUGUUGGUGAGGUAAUGGCUUACCAAGGCGACGACGGGUAGCCGGCCUGAGAGGGCGACCGGCCACACUGGGACUGAGACACGGCCCAGACUCCUACGGGAGGCAGCAGUGGGGAAUAUUGCGCAAUGGGCGAAAGCCUGACGCAGCGACGCCGCGUGAGGGAUGAAGGUCUUCGGAUUGUAAACCUCUUUCAGCAGGGACGAAGCGAAAGUGACGGUACCUGAAGAAGAAGCACCGGCUAACUACGUGCCAGCCGCCGCGGUAACAC
rnacentral:rRNA from 1 species